rnacentral:tRNA from 1 species
GCCUGGCUGGCUCAGUCCGUAGAGCAUGCGACUCUUGAUCUCGGGGUUGUGAGUUCGAGCCCCACGACGGGUG